rfam:Agrilus planipennis Contig52779, whole genome shotgun sequence.
CUACUUCUCCAAUUUGAAUUUUCCACAUUCGACGGUACAAAGAUUAGCAUGACCCCUGCGCAAGGAUAACACGCAAAAUCGUGAAGCGUUCCACAUUUGU